GGCAGCACCUCGGCCAGGGGGUAUAGGCAGUGCAGCACAGCAGCCUGCUGAAGGGGAAAAUGUUCUUUCAAAGAUCCUGCAGGGAGGAGCAGCAGAACAAGCUGGAAAAAUAGGAGAUGCUGUAUCUGCUCUCGGAAAGAAGUUCACUUCAUUUUGGUGAUCAGCUGAUAGCACGGCAUUUCUUGUUGGGGUGACUUGGAGUUAGAACUGA